rnacentral:misc_RNA from 1 species
UCUCGCUAAAAAAUGCAUAACCCUCCUCUAUCCUCAUGGUGUUUCUGAUCGAUGGUGAGAUCCGUGAAAAUGAAGACCCAGGUCGCAAAGGUGAAGAAGAAGACGAAGCCCUCCUCUUAUCCUUCNNNNNAUGCCAGCUGAUGCCCAUCUGAUGCACGCCUCUAUCCUCAAGUUCAAUGCAAAAAUCCUCCAAAGCACAUCUUCACUUCCCAUCACUAGAACAUUGGGCUUCACAG